UUUGGAGAAGCAUUGCCAUCUUGACUUAUUCUCAAAAGAAGAUGGUGCUGGUCACGAAGAAAUUAGAGUCAAGACAGGACUCGGCUACUUCUACGCCAUACCAAUGCUUUUCAGUAACAAGUAUUUACUUCAUGCAUGUAUAACAUUAGAGUCAACCCUGUGUAGGUUGCAUCAUUGCAUGAACAUAAUACUUUUCCACUUUGUAAUUUCCUGCAUGUCCUUGUGAAUCACACUGAUGAAAUGCUUGUGUUGGUGUUCUCUUAGCACUUCAUGGUCAUAUGAAUGAGGCAAAUUUGUGCCAUGGCCCUUGUGUCAUGUGCCUUGCUCUUAUAA
rnacentral:lncRNA from 1 species